rnacentral:rRNA from 1 species
CGGAGGGUGCAAGCGUUAUCCGGAUUCACUGGGUUUAAAGGGUGCGUAGGUGGGUUGGUAAGUCAGUGGUGAAAUCCCCGAGCUUAACUUGGGAACUGCCAUUGAUACUAUCAGUCUUGAAUACCGUGGAGGUUAGCGGAAUAUGUCAUGUAGCGGUGAAAUGCUUAGAUAUGACAUAGAACACCAAUUGCGAAGGCAGCUGGCUACACGAAUAUUGACACUGAGGCACGAAAGCGUGGGGAUCAAACAGGAUUAGAUACCCUGGUAGUCCACGCCCUAAACUAUGGAUACUCGACAUACGCGAUACACUGUGUGUGUCUGAGCGAAAGCAUUAAGUAUCCCACCUGGGAAGUACGAUCGCAAGAUUG